rnacentral:rRNA from 1 species
GACGAACGCUGGCGGCGUGCUUAACACAUGCAAGUCGAACGGUAAGGCUCCAGCUUGCUGGGGUACACGAGUGGCGAACGGGUGAGUAACACGUGGGUGACCUGCCCUGCACUUCGGGAUAAGCCUGGGAAACUGGGUCUAAUACCGGAUAGGACCAAGGUGUGGAUACUGUGGUGGAAAGUUUUUUCGGUGUGGGAUGGGCCCGCGGCCUAUCAGCUUGUUGGUGGGGUAAUGGCCUACCAAGGCGGCGACGGGUAGCCGGCCUGAGAGGGUGGACGGCCACAUUGGGACUGAGACACGGCCCAGACUCCUACGGGAGGCAGCAGUGGGGAAUAUUGCACAAUGGGCGGAAGCCUGAUGCAGCGACGCCGCGUGGGGGAUGACGGCCUUCGGGUUGUAAACUCCUUUCACCAUCGACGAAGGGUUUCUGACGGUAGAUGGAGAAGAAGCACCGGCUAACUACGUG